rnacentral:rRNA from 1 species
AGUGAACGCUGGCGGUAGGCCUAACACAUGCAAGUCGAGCGGCAGCACAGUAAGAGCUUGCUCUUACGGGUGGCGAGUGGCGGACGGGUGAGGAAUACAUCGGAAUCUACUUUUUCGUGGGGGAUAACGUAGGGAAACUUACGCUAAUACCGCAUACGACCUACGGGUGAAAGCAGGGGAUCUUCGGACCUUGCGCGAUUGAAUGAGCCGAUGUCGGAUUAGCUAGUUGGCGGGGUAAAGGCCCACCAAGGCGACGAUCCGUAGCUGGUCUGAGAGGAUGAUCAGCCACACUGGAACUGAGACACGGUCCAGACUCCUACGGGAGGCAGCAGUGGGGAAUAUUGGACAAUGGGCGCAAGCCUGAUCCAGCCAUACCGCGUGGGUGAAGAAGGCCUUCGGAUUGUAAAGCCCUUUUGUUGGGAAAGAAAAGCAGCAGGUUAAUACCCCGCUGUUCUGACGGUACCCAAAGAAUAAGCACCGGCUAACUUCGUG